rnacentral:antisense_RNA from 1 species
AGAAGGAAGGCAACAUAAAGACCCAAAGAGAGACCACCAUCUACAAGUCACAUCUACAAGUCAAGGAGAGAGGCCCAGGACAGAUUCUCUCCCCACAGCCCUCGGGAGGAAGCAACCCUGCCAACCCCCUGACUUCUAGCCUUCUUCAGAUUCUCAGCUUCUAGAACUAUGAGACAAUGCAUUUCUGCUAUUUAAGCCACCGGUUUGUGGUUGGCAUUGUUAUGGUGGCCCUAGCAAAGUAAGACAACUCUAAAUUCUGCAAACGGUUCUCUAAACAAGGCGAUAUAAUUAAAUAGCUACUUCUUAAGAUUUUCCUCUCUCCUUUAAAAAUGAAAGACUUGUAAAUAUAGACUGCCUAAAUGCUUCAUCAGUACGAACUGGAGUCAUCUUACACAACUUCUUCAAGUAAUAAUUAUGUGGAAAAAGUGUGCUAAUUUCAGUAAAAAGACAUCCUGCUGUUGUAAACUAGAAGGAAAGAUGUUCCAGUGUUAAUCUCCAAGUGUAGCACCGUUAAGCGGCAGAAAAAAAAGACUAAACACUACCUACGCUCAAUGUUCCACACCUCUUAAGCCAGUAAUCCUGUAUCUGGUGUCUGGCAGCAAAGAAAAUAAAAUAUACCUCAUCUGUGCUCCAUUUGGAGACUUUACUGGCAGGGAUUCCAGCGACAGUUGGAAGAAGUUUGCUUUGCUGCUCCCAGCGCAAGGGCAGACAUGGAAUUGGGGA